rnacentral:lncRNA from 1 species
UGUGUGUGUGUACAUGUGCAGAAAGAAUGAGAGAGAGCAAGAUUAAUUUAAUAAUUUUAUGUAUGAAAUGUUGGACAUAUUGAAAGCAGAGGAGGUAACAUCACAUAUGUAGAUGUUACCUGAAUUCCUCCAGAAACCAAGAAAAAUUAAAGUAAGCUAAUUAAAGUAAGUUUACUAGAGCAAUAUUCUUCACCAAACAUUGGCAGAGUCGGCUUGGUUACCAUGAUAAAUACCUGCAAGUCGUUCCCUAGAGGAGCCUCAUCCUUUCCUUAGCUACACCCUUUGUUUCUGCUCUUCCUUGAAGAGCCUUGGAAGGCUUUUCUCUCUUUGCUCUUGAAAGGGCAGCUGAAAUGCCUCUUCUCCAGGAAGCCUCUCCUGGAGAAAAGAAGCAGCCCACCUUUCUCUGGACUCUCAUAGAACUUUACUUCCAUGUCUUUCAGGCAUGUGUUUAAUUGUGCCACGUAUCAUAGUAAUUUAUGUUCAAAUUUCUCUAAUCACAUUUAUCUAAUCUCUUCUACUGAUUUAUAAGCUCCACGAAGGCAAGAUUUAGGAUAGAUUUCACUUUGUACCUCCACAUGGAUUUUAGCACUGUACCUUGCACCUUAUAGGCACACAAUAAGUGUGUGUUUAAUUAAUAAAAUAAAUGCAUCCAAACCCACUUCUGCUGUACAGCAGUAACCUAUAACCUAGGUGUUCUUACCAGAGAAGAUAAAAUUAAAACUCCAUUUAAAAAGUUAAUCAAAUAAAUACCUCCCUUAUUUUCUCCAUCCCAAUUCAGUAUCAGGCAUCUUAAAUUUGGUCAGAAUUAGUUGACUAGUUUAGAGUUUAAUGGUUUAAGCAAAUAUUUUUUCUUUUUCUUCCUUUUCUUCCUUUGGAACAGAGGAAACUUUGCUGGACAAAAAGGAAAAAUAUCUGGGUGGGAGAAAUUGGGUGGGGCCAGUUAAGUCUGCAUUCCGCUACUGGAUUUAGUUGAAAAUAUCAAGCUGUUUUCAAGAAUUCUGGAUUAAACUCCCUCCCUUGCAUUGUAUUCAGGGGUGCCUUCCUUGAAGAAUUGAAAGCAGAAAGAUUUGGGAGCUGAGAGUUAAGCUGAACAAAAGGUCCUCAGCCUUAUUCCGGACCAUCAGUGCCCUUCUUCUUCCACCUGCCGCUCCAGGAGACUGGCCCCAUCAAAGUGGGUCAGUGCAGGCUCUCAUUUCAUCUGCACCCUACUGAUAAAACAGGUGGCACCAAGUGCUGAGCAGGUGCUAAGCAGGCUGUGGCUUAAGUUAUUACUCCUUAAAGAGUGACUAUUGAUGUUAUGGUGUCAAAGCCUUUGUACAAAUGUGUGACUAAGCUGAGGACCUCACAGUCAGGGCAGGUCCAUUCUCCUGCUAGUUGGGCUGGCCCCAAGUGAGCUACUCUGUUGGCCUGAGGACAAAGAAGCACAGUGGCUUUUCCCGAUGUCAUAGGAACAUCGGAGAAGUAAUCUAGAGGACCAGAUUGCUAGUUCUCUGGGGGGAGAAUGUCUCAUUUAUAUUGCAAUUUUUUAAAAAAAACAAAACAACAAAAAGCUUAAGAAUAACACAACAAACAGCUGUGUACAUACUCUGCAGUGUUAACAGAUGUAAUUUUUUUUCAUAAUUGCUUAAGAUCCUCUUUUAUGCAUUGCUGAUAUAUUUUAAAUUUCUUAAUUUCAAGAGCAGUACCAUUCCCCUCUCUCCCUCAUGGCCAACAACUAUCUUAAAUUUGAUGUGGUUCUAGUCCAUUCUCAUAUGCAUUCUUAAAUGAUUCAUACAAAUGGAAUAAUUCCAAUUGCAACCUGCUUCUUUUUUCCCACUCAAUAUGCUUCUGAGUUUCAGGUACAUCUAGGUCAUUCAUUUUAGCUAUUAUGUAUAAUACCCCAUCCUAUUCCAUAUAUAAUAUGGUAUUAGCUAUUAUAUAUUUUUAUAAUUAUACAUAUAUUUAUAUAAUUAGAUAUUUAGCUAUUAUGUUAUAUAUCAUGGUUUCUGUAGCCUCUCCCCUGUCAAUUGCUAUUGCAGCAUUUUUAACAAUGUUUUUACUACUGCAAACAAUGCUCGAAUGAGCUUCCUUUGACAUGUCUCUUGGCUUAAGAGUGUGAGGGCGUCCCAAGAGGAUAUACCUAGAAAUGGGAUUACAGAAUAUAGAUGUGCAUACUGAAAGUCACUAGAUAUUGUCAAAUCACUCAACAAAGUGAAUGCACCAAUCUACUUUCCUAUCCAAAAUGUAUAAGAAUUUGUACAUCAUCAACAACGUUUAGUUUUGCGUGAUUAAACUUUUUUUUUCUUUACCAA